AUGAUAGCAGGGUUUCCAAGCGAUCAGGUUGGUGUGAGAAUUCAGAAUGUACACAGCAUUCUUAAGAAUCACCUGAAAUUGUUUGCCUAGACUGUUGGUCAUAAAUCUUGAUCGAUUAUUGCAGAUAUGUCGCUCAGCACCAGUGUCGAAUAUCCAGGAAUCUCAGAGAUACGGGCGAUUGGAAGGAUAGUUCUCGACAUUCAUAUUUAGACAUCUUGUCAAUCAAUCGACAGCUGCAAUAUCAGAAGUGAUCAAAGGUUGACUAACAGAGUGAUAGAUAGAAUGUGCAACGGGCGUACUACCGAUUAACGGUUUAAGCACUAUCCUAAUACAGUUUACGAAUUGAUUAAGGAAAGAAAGAGAAA
rnacentral:sRNA from 1 species